rnacentral:rRNA from 1 species
UACUANNNUUAGAGGCACNNNNNNCCCAGUGACACACGUUUAACGGCCGCGGUACCCUGACCGUGCAAAGGUAGCAUAAUCACUUGUUCUUUAAAUAGGGACUCGUAUGAAUGGCAUCACGAGGGUUUAACUGUCUCUUACUUUCAACCAGUGAAAUUGACCUGUCCGUGAAGAGACGGACAUGAAACAAUAAGACGAGAAGACCCUGUGGAGCUUCAAUUUAUUAGUACAACUAAAAACAACACAAACCAACAGGCCCUAAACCCCUACAUCUGUGCUAAAAAUUUUGGUUGGGGCGACCUCGGAGCACAACCAAACCUCCGAAUAAUCCACGCUAAGACUAUACAAGUCAAAGCAAACUAACACUUACAAUUGACCCAACAAUUUGAUCAACGGAACAAGUUACCCCAGGGAUAACAGCGCAAUUCUAUUCUAGAGUCCAUAUCAACAAUAGAGUUUACGACCUCGAUGUUGGAUCAGGAUAUCCUAAUGGUGCAGCAGCUAUCAAGGGUUCGUUUGUUCAACG